rfam:Frankia sp. ETN1h contig_115, whole genome shotgun sequence.
GGGAGCCGGAUGAGGCGAGAGUCUCACGUCCGGAUCUACGAGCGCCGAGGGGUGAGACUCCCCUCGGCGACUCACC